rnacentral:lncRNA from 1 species
CAAAGAAAAAGUUUUGUAUAAUAAAGUAUUUAUGAGUGCAGGUCUACGGCAAAUAAAAGAUUAUACAUAUGAGGUAAUUCCAGGAUUUUUACCUGGGGAAGCUAUUUUUGACAUAAUCAAUGAAUGGGAUGAAGAGGUGGGAAGGGGAACAAAGGCUGAGAAAUUUUGGAAAGUAGUUUUUCCGGAAUUGGAUGAAAAAAAGAUAUGGGGAAAUUUAAAUGUAAAAUAUAAUAGUAAGGAGUGUGAAAAUAAUGAUUUCAAACUAAGACAUAAUAGAAUAUUUACAAAGGUGGUGCUAAAGAAAAUUAAUUGUGAGAUAGAAAGGGAAUGCGACGUAUGUGGACGUUUCCCGGAAACUCUUAUGCAUUUGUUUAUAGAAUGUGAGGAUUUAAAAUAUUUUUUUUUGUAAAGUUAAGGAAAUGUUAUGUAGAAACUGGGGGGGAGAUUUCGUGAAAAAGUAUGCGUGGGAGGAACUUUUGUUAUUUGGAGUGUCUGGUAAAUGUGAGGGUGCUAAUGUGUGUUUGUUGAAUAUGGUUUUGAGUUUUGUGAGGUAUGCUAUUUUUUGUAGGAGGAAUUAUGUUUCUUUUGACAGAAAGAGGGUUCAGGUGUGGAGUAUCUUUAUAGCACUGUUCAGUAAACACAUAGAUAUGUUGUUUAAUUAUGGGAUGGAACAUUUUGAUGAGUCUUUUGUUGAAGGGAGUGGGUUAAUUUCACGAGAGGAGAGUGGAGGUAUCACUUAUAAUUUUUGAAAGCACUGUUUUGAUAUUUUCUUUGUUGAUAAUUUGAUAGGGGGUGAAUUGUUCACCUGCCUCUGUUAGUCUAGUGUCUUCUGUAUUGUUCUCUGUGGAUUGUACUGUAAACAGUAGAUUGUACUGUAAAUAUUGUAAACAAACAUUUUUGAUAAUAAAAAAAAAAAAAAAAAAAAAAAUCACAUUAGC